UACUCCCAGACUCCAAAGAUUUUUUUCCUUUUUGUUUUCCCUACAAGUUUUAUAGUUUUACAUGGAAGUCUAUGAUUAAUUUGUGGUUUGGAAAAAAAUCUCUACAUAUGAAGUCAAGAAAGCACAAUGAAGCCUUCUGGUUAAUGAAUUUAGUGAGUUUCAGAUUUUCCUCUCAUGGAGAGUCCUGGAAAAUCACUUCAGAAAAGAGUGCUGUGGGUCACUUGUAGAAGAAACUGCUUUGCAUGCAUAUAUGAUUUAGAGCAUUCUAAAGGCUAACAUGGAUUCUGGCCCAGCCUCUGAUGAAUAGAAUCAAAACCUAUUGAUUACCAGACCAAGAAUUGGAAACAAAGCCAUUUGAUACAGCUUUUAGGUUUAUGACUAGCCAGUCAGAUCUCUCUCAGCUGCUGAAUGUAGAAGUUCACUGGACACAUGCGUGUAUUUACCGAAGCCUGACAAUGUCUGACACUGUUGUGCCUUGACUGUGGUAGUGAUCACCUGUAAUGCAAUUUUUCAUAACAAUUUUGUUGAGAUAUAAUUCACAUACCAUACAAUUCACCUAUUUAAGCAUACAGUUCAGUGGUUUCAUAUAUUGUGUAUCCAUCACUACAGUCAGUUUUGGAGCAUUUUCAUCACCUACAAAACUCCAUUCCCAUUAGCAGUUACCCCUGAUUCCCCUACAUCCCCAGCACUAGGCCACCAGUAAUGUACCUUCUAUCUUUAGAGAGUUGCUUAUUCUGUCUGGACAUUUCAGUGGAAUCAUAUAGUAUGUGGUAUUUUGUGAUUGUCCUCUUAGGAUAAUUUUUUUUUUUUUGGGGGGGGACAGAGUCUCUCUCUGUUACCCAGGCUGGAGGGCAGUGGUGUGAUCUCGGCUCACUGCAACCUCCGCCUCCCAGAUUCAAGCGAUUUCUCCUUUCUCAGCCUCCUGAGUAGCUGGGACCACAGGCAAUGCGCCACCAUGCCCAGCCAGUUUCUGUAUUUUUAGUAGAGACGGGGCUUCACCCUGUUGGCCAGGCUGUUCUCAAAUUCCUGACCUCAGGUGAUCCACCCACUUCGGCUUCCCAAAGUGUUGGGAUUAUAGGCAUGAGCCACCGCGCCCGGCCUCUUAGCAUAAUUUUUAAGGGUACUUGUAGCAUGUGUCAGUUCUUCAUUUUUUUAUUGCCAGAUAAUAUUCCAGCAUAUGGAUGUAUCACACUGUAUUAAUCCAUUCAUCAACUGAUAAACAUUUGGGUUGUUUCCCCUUUUUGGCUAUUAAUACCGUGGCUAUGAGCAUUUAUGUGCAAGUUUUUGGGUGAAUAUAUAUUUUUAUUACUCUUGGGUAUAUACCUAGGAGUGGAAUUGCUGGGCCUUAUGGUAACUGUAUUUAACCAUUUGAGGAAUGGCCAGACUGUUUCCAAAGCAGCUGUACCACUUUAUCUUCCCACCAGCAGUGUAUGAGGGUUCCCGAUUUCUUCACAUUCUUGUCAACACUUGUUAUUACCUGGUUUUUUUUUUUUUUUUGGUCUGUAAUACAAUUUUAUGUGUUUUUUAAUUCCUUUGCAUUGUUGAUGUUUUUCCUGCCAGGGAUCGGCAUUCACAUACUUAAGGAAGUAGGGUAUGGUUAGCUAUGAUAUGGCUCUGAGCUGUAAUGAAAUUCUGUGCUAGGACCAGCUUGUCUAUUUGUCUCUUACCUUGACUUCUGAUCAUAGCACUAACCAAACCACCAUGAUACCACAGAAAUAAUUGUUUUAGAAGCUCAAAUCUAAUCUUUUAAAUCUUGAGAUGUGUCACACAUACAUAAGAAUGCAUAAAAUAUAUGUAUAAGGAAUAAUUAAUAGCUGGGCAUGGUGGUUCAUGCCUGUAAUUCCAUCGCUUUGGGAGGCUGAGGCAGGAAGAUUGCUUGAAGCCAGGAGUUUGAGACCAGCCUGGGCAACGACUCUGUCUAUACAAAAAUUUUUUUAAAAAAAUUAACUGGGCAUGAUGGUGCACACCUGUAGUCCUAGCUACUUGGGAGGCUGAGAUGAGAAGAUUACUUGAGCCCAGGAGUUUGAGGCUGCAGUGAGUUAUGGUCGUGCCACUGCACUCCAGCCUGGGCAACAGAGCAAGACUAUAUCUCAUAUAAGGAAAAAAAAAAAUAGAAUUAUAAAGCAAACACCCAUAUAACCCACCCACAUCAUAGAGUAGAAAUUUACAGUUCUAAGUAACAGUUAAUAAUGAACAUGACUGAAAAUAUGUUAGCAUUGUAAACAUUAAUAAUCAUUAACAAAUUAAAUCACUUUUUGAUGAUUUUCCUUUUCUUUGUAUCAUUUUGUUUUUCUUUAUAGUUUUACUGUAUGUACAAACACACACACAUGCACGCACACAUGCAUCCAACACCGCUACCCCAAAACAUGAGCUUGAAGUUGCCUGUUUUUGAACUUCACAUAAAUGGAAACAUACUAUAUGUAUUCUUCAGUGACUUCUUUUGCUUAACAUUUCAAAGAUAUUGUGGGUAGCUGUUCGUUCAUUUUUUUUCUUUUUUGCUACUGUGUAGUUUUCUAGCUUCUGUGUUCUCCUGAUGAACCUUUAGGUUGGUUCUGAUAUUUGGGUAUUAUGAGCAGGGCUGCUAUGAAUAUUCUUGUGGAUAUUUCAGGUCUGUAAGAGUUUCUUCAAAAUAGUUACCAAGGAGUAGAAUUACUGCUUUCCUAGAUAAUGCCAGAGUCUUUUUAAAAAUGUUGUAAUCUUUUCUCCCACAGCAUUACCAGCCUUUGGUACAUUCAGACUUUUAGCAGUUUUGACAGUCUGUUGGUUGCUUCUGUAGCAGUAUCUCAUUGUGGUUUAAAUUUAAUCUCGCUUGAGUUUUAUUAUUACUUUUACCUUUUCACCCAGUGCAUUUGCAGUUAUAGAUUUUUUUAUUUUCUCAAAGAAAAGUGGACAUUGGGCUACCUGAAAAUCAUAUUUGGGCUAGUGAAAAUUCAUUGAGCUAGUAGCAUUCUUUAGGUUAUUCUGACUGAGAACUUGAUCACUUAGAUGAUGAGUACUGUCAGAUUAUUUUUGAUCCUAUGGUUUUAUCUGGCCUUACACAUUUUUGUAUAAUAAAAUUUAAAAUUUAUGGAAUUGCUUAUUUAGUUUACCAACUUGAUAUGCUACAAGCAAUAAGUCUGUAGUUUGCUCAUAUUGAUUCUAAGCCCAAUAUAUAAAUUGUCAUUUAUUUAUGGUGAAUUAAGUAUUUAUCCCUAAGAGGAAUUUACAACAUCUAGUUCAAAGUAUUCUCAAUAUUAGGAAGUAAUACCUAUAUGUGUGUGUGCAUGAGUGUGUCAGAGUGUACAUGUGGGCCAAAGUGCUGAAAGAUGUGGCAUUUUUUGCCAGAGGAAGAAGUUUACUGAGGAAAACUCAAUAUUCUAAAACUUAAAAAAACUUAAUAGUAAUGUAAAACAAAUCUUGCUUAAUUUAAUGAGAACAAAUAAGAUUAUUUAAGUGCGAAGAAAUGGGGUGAAAGCAGAAUUUUAUUUGUAUGAGAUUAAGAAUUGACCGAAUACUCAGCAUAUGACUUCUAUGAGAGCAAAGUUUCAUAAUAUGUAGUGCAUUCUCACUGGAGCUUUUGCUGUUUUGUUUGGUUGUUUGUUUUUUAACUUAAAAGAAAUAACUACAAGUAAUAUAUCAUCCUGUCAGGUGAUUCGUGUACUGUGUUAGAAAGAAAAGGUAACAAAUUACUGUGUUUAUUUCCAGUUCCUGAAUGUAGAUGAAUUUAAGUUUGUUAUAGGGGGAAAUAUUUUCUGUCUCAUUGCAAGUGUUCUAUUAUGGCUUUCAGUUAGCAACACGUGCUCACCUUACUCUUAAGUAUUAUAUAUUUUUCAAGAUAUCUUAGGAAUAGUUAUGGUUUUAUUUGUUUGUUUGGACAUAGAGGUUUUACUCUGUGGCCCAGGCUGGAGUGCAGUGGCACGAUCAUGGCUCACUGCAGUUUCAACCUCCUGGGCUCAAGUAAUCCUCCUGCCUCAGGCUCCGGAGUAGCUGGGACUACAGGCAUGCGCCACCAUGGCUGAGUUUUGUAUCUUUUUUAGAGAUGGGAUUUCACCAUGUUGCCCAGGCUGGUCUCAAACUUCUGACCUCAAGCAAUCCUCCCACCUCAGCCUCCCAAAGUGCUAGGAUUACAGGUGUGAGCCACCACAUCUAGCCAGGAAUAUUUAUGUUCUACCUGCUGUAAGAAAAGCCUACCCAAAAGUCAAUUCUGUAUGUCAAUUAAUUUUUUUGUUGAUGGAGAGGGAGUAGUUUCAAGGAAAAGUGAAUUCAGCAGAUUCUUUACUGACACUGGGAAUCUAAAUGGGACUGCUGAAUAGCUUUCCAUUUUUUUGUUUUGGUUGUGUGAUUGAAUAUGUUUUAUACCAAAAUAUAGUUUAUUGUUCCAUGAAUAUAUUUAAUAAUUGCAAUAUCUUAUAAUCUCACUCUAGAUUGAAUUUUCAUACUGUAGAUUGAACUUUCAUACUGUACUAUACAGAGUAGAAGUGAGUUUUCAUUUUUAACUACAUGAAAUCUCAGUUCUAAGGUCAAUAAAUUUUUCUUCUGUUUCCCACAAGUAAGAUCCCAUUAUAUAAACCAUCUCAGAAGAUGUCCACAUUAGAGAAUAAUGUUUACAAGUAGUUACCAAAAUGAGAAACUGCCAGGCAUUAUUUACUUACAUGACACGAAUGUUCACUCUCUUGAAUUUUCCUAUAAUAUUCAUAAUAAUUACAUUAGAUUCAGAAAUUCAGGAAUAUUUUAACAUACAUAUGUACUAAAAAAUACCUUAGUUAUCAGAAGGGAGUGUUUCAUUUUGUUCUUUUAACAAAUGGUUGCUUUUAUUCUUUUGAGAAUAUUUGUUUCCUAGGUGAAUGAGAGCUAAUCUUUUAUGCAUGAAGGGCCUAAAGUGCUCUGAUUUAUAUUAAUAAAUAUAUUGACAAUUUAGGAAACAUAGAAUCCUUUAGACCUUUCCUAUAGAGAAGAAGAGUAGUCUUUGCAAAUUUGCUUUACAUUGGUGAAAAAAGUCAUCAUUUCGAAGCCACUCAUUUCAUCGGAAUUGGGAAGGCCACCAUCUUAUAGCUGGGCUUGUGAACCUUUGACUUUUCCCAGUAUAUAUUGGACUAUUUUGAUCACUGCUAUAUGCUUCUAGUUCCUCAAUCAGUAUCUGCCACAGAGGAGGCCCUCUAAAUUUUUUGUGGAAUUACUUAAUGAAAUGAAUGAGUGAUUAUUCGCCUUCACAGGAUUGUGUGAGACCAUAUAAGGUGUGUAGAGCGGUUUGACCUCCCACCAUUGAAAUGCUCCUUACCAUUAGCAUCUAAAGUGAUUCACUUGAGAAAUGUGUGUGCUCUCGUGACAGUCUGCUUGUUCCAGCCUUGCUGGAAUCUAGAUCCACGAGAAUCCUGUGUUCAUUUUUCUCUAAAGAAUAAUUACGACCAUCUAAGGUAAUAGCUAAAGAAUCGAGACCUGUAAGAACUCUUAGCCAGGUACAGUGGCCUGUGCCUGUAGUCCCAGCUACUCAGGAGGCUAAGGUGGGAGGAUUGCUUGAACCCAGGAGUUUGAGGCUGCAGUGCCCUAUGAUUGUGUCUGUGAAUAGCCACUGCAUUACAGCCUGGGCAACAUAGGGAGACCUUGCCUCUGGAAAAACAAACAACUCUUGGUAGUCUCCUAAUAACCUAUUCAAAGAGUUCAGAAUUUGGCGGGUGGGUGGGGGGAGGGGGGUCCAUUUAUCUCUGUUCCUCUUCAUAUCUUUGCCAGAGAAGAUAAUUUUAAAAAAGAAAAUAUUGUUGUCAUUUGCUUUUCUACGAAAGAAGCACAUUUAGAUAGUGAAGGAAAAGUGAAAAAUGUUCUUUAUGCCGUUUACAUUGUCUCAUUUAAUUAUCCCAGUAGCACUGCAAGGUUGGAAUAGUGACUAGCCUAUUUUAUAGAUAAGGAAACCAGAGCUCUUAAAUAUUGCGUUGUUUGUACUCUAGAAUAUACACUUAAGGGCCGGGUACAUUGGCUCACGCCUAUAAUCCAAGCACUUUGGGAGGCUGAGGCGGGCGGAUCACCUGAGGUCAGGAGUUUAAGACCAGUCUGGCCAACAUGGCGAAACCCCAUCUUUAUUAAAAAUAAAAAAGUUAGCUGGGUAUGUUGGUGCACACCUGUAGUCCUAGCUACUCGGGAGGCUGAGGCACGAGAAUCGCUUGAACCCAGGAGGCAGAGGUUGCAGUGAGCCAAGACGGCACCACUGCGCUCCAGCCUGGGCAAUAAAAUGAGACUGUCUCAAAAAGAAUAUAGACUCCAAGAGGGUUGCAGUUUCACUGGUUCUGCCUGGUUCACCCUUGUGUCUUCAGUAUAAACCAUGGUGCCCUGGCACGUGGAUAUACUGGUUGGUUUUACUUUUGCCUAAGAUAACAUCGCUAGUUAAUGGAAUCUACUGAGAUUUGCAUGUAGUUUUUAUGCUUUCCACAGCCUAUGAGCUCUUUUCACUGCAGUACUUUUAAGUUUUCUAAGACCGGGGUCCCCAAGCCCUGGGCCAUGGAUGGUACCUGUCUGUGGCAUGUUAGGAACCAGGCCACACAGCAGGAGGUGAGUGGCAGGCAAACGAGCAUUACCACCUGAGCUCUGCCUCCUGUCAGAUCAGCAGUGGCAUUAGACUCUCAUAGGAGCACGAACCCUAUUGUGAACUGCGCAUGUGAAGGAUCUAGGUUGCGUACUCCUUAUAAGAAUCUAAUGCCUGAUAAUCUGAGGUGGAACAAUUUCAUCCCAAAGCCCUGCCACCGCAUCACAUCCAUGGGACAAAUUGUCUUCCACAAAACCUGUCCUUGGUGCCAAAAAGGUUGGGGACCACUGUUGUGAGAUCAUUUCGAGUUACACCUCUCUGAAAAAGUGGACAUAUUCCAGUGGUGUUUACCUGGCAGCUGUUGUAAUGCUAUGAUGUAGGUCUUUUCUCUAUACAGAACAUGCUGAUGCUGAUGACUGUAUUCUUUGGCAGCUCAUAGUAUGAGCAUAUAAUAAAUCUUAUGUAUGCACUUUUUACCCUCACUUUUCAAAUUGUUAUAUUUAGUCAGUGAAAGCAACUAGAAAAAAGUAAAACUGAUACCAGCUGUUAUACAUAUUGCCAUAUCCCAGCAUGAUUUGCUCCUGUAAGCCUGGUGGUCACAUACAGCAGUCUGCCUUUCCUGCUCUCCUACUCAUCUUAUAAAAAGACUCUACCAGAUUAGCCCUCUUUUCUUUUAUUCUGAUUCCUGCUAUUUUGAAGUUGUGGGAACCAGAGAAGGAGUUCAUAUUUCUCUACCAUUCUAUGGCACCUUUGCCCUAGUAGGAUGGAGUAGUACUGAGCUGACAUGUCAGUGGUAUGCUGGUGAUAGCUUCUAUCACAUGCGAGAACUGACAGUUAAAUUUUCAGACAUUCUAUGAGCGGUUGUUAAACAUAGUCAUUGUUAAAUGUUAAAAUAUACAAGCUUACAAGUUAAAUUAUAUUUAAUAACUGAUAAUAUAUACUCAUCACUUCCUGUUAUUUCAAGUGUUGCUAUAUAUCUAUGCUUUUAAAGUUUCUAUCAUGUCUGUGUGAUGGAAAUACUGUGCUGCUGUGUAUCUUUUUCUUUUACUUUUUUUUUUUUUUUGAGAUGGAGUCUCUGCCACUCAGGCUGGAGUGCAGUGGCGCGAUCUCGGCUCACUGCAACCUCCGCUUCCCGGGUUCAAGUGAUUCUCCUGUCUCAGCCUCCCGAGUAGCUGGGACUACAGGCGGCGCCACCACUCCCGGCUAAUUUUUGUUAUUUUUGCUAGAGACGGGGUUUCACCAUGUUGGCCAGGCUGAUCUUGAACUCCUGACCUCAGAUGAUCUGCCUGCCUCGGCCUCCCAAAGUGCUGGGAUUACAGGCGCGAGCCACUGUGCCCAGCUUGGCUCACUGUUGUAAGAGCUAAGCUAGAUUGCUCAAGUGUUUUUCCCUCUCCUACCUUGACAUAAAAGUUUUGUCUGUGUCAGACAUUCGUAUUUUCAGCCACACCCCAGAGUGCAUCACUGAUGUUUGAGGUUCUUCACCAGCAAGCCCACGUCAGCACUCGGUCAUGUCUGUCCAAAAGGUGCUUUGAACCCUUGGAGGAUGUGGAAUGCCAUGUCGACCUCAGUGCCACCAGGGGCAUACUCGAGCCCACCAAAGGAGCAAGUGAAGGGGUUGCCUGAGCGGCGCUCCGGAAUGUGCUGCAGCCUUCUGCAGAAUGAUCUUUGCUGAGUGAGGCCUGCCUGUAGGAGCUAACUGGUAUGUUUGGUAGUGGAGGCAUCGGACAGUGUAGUCAGUAACAAGAUACUAAGAUAAAUGCAGGGGUUAAAUGCUUCCUAGAGUGAUGUUUUUUAAGCUGGCUAGUUUUGUUUAUUGCAGGAAUUAGGUAACUUUGUUGGAGAGCAACCUUGAAGAGCAGUGGAGAUGAGUCAGACUUCCUGGCUACUUAGCCAGUAUCAAGUAAUUAAAAACCACUCCAUGGAUGGGGCCACGCCGGCAGAGAAACCUUCUUACAGGGAAUGACUUUAUGAUACCCACACUUUUCAAAGAGUGGGCUGCAUUGAGCUGGUCUCAUUGGGAAGCAUGUUACCUACGAGUGAGUGAGAAAAGCUGCACAGGUGCCUAGCAGUUGCUCUGCUCAUUUCACUUCCACUGGAUGAGUUACUUUGUUCCCCAUUCCAAAAGCUGACUGUUCCUAUUCCCAUUUAAACGGCACUUUAUAAAAUUCUCAUGUGUCUUUACAUUUUAUGCUUGCCACAAAGAAGGAAAUUCAUUGCUUGAUUAAACUUAAAAUAGGAUUUUUUAAACUAAGGGAACCUAAAAGCCACUCUUGACUCCAACAUAUCAAUUUAAGCCACUGCAGCUGCGGUUUCUGUCCCGUCCUCUGCUGUUUUACACAGAACUGGCUUCUAGUGGAGCUCCUAACAUUCCAAUCUAUUUUUUUUGUUUGUUUAAAUUUCGUUAUCUAUGUUAUUUAAAAGGUAUAUUAAAAAUAUAAGCAAAGUUGUUUUCUUCCUCCCCUCUAGCUUUUAUUGAAAAUAUAAAUGUAAGCCCAGAGGGGAAAAUUAUUUCCUAAUUCUGUAAAGAUUCCUGCAACAUUUUCCUUCCAAGGAACUGGCAGUAUCUCCUCUGUUACUCUCAGUUGAAUAUAGAAUAUUUGGGAUUGUGGACAGGUCAUAUGUUUGUUUCUCUCCUUCCCCCGUGUUCCGCUUUGCCCAAGUCAACAAGCCAUGGUUGCCAGGAGGCUCUUCUUGGGCCAAAGCAGAUACCAGGACUUCACCUUGCUGUGACAGUGGUUGGGGACCAGGAAGAUGAGCAAGAAUGAAUUUGUAAGCAACUGAAUUUGCAAGCAAUGUAUUGAUUGUAAAUGAAUUAUUUCGUACAUCCCUGUAGUUGUCCCCAGUCUCCAUUCCAAUAGGAUCCCUGGAGCUGAUUGGGAGAGAAGAAAAAGAGAUACCUGAUUGGUACCCCUCCUAGCUGUUCCAGUAGCCAGGUGGGCUUGGCAGAGACUAUGAAAGAGGCAAGCUACAAGUGGAUUGAGACUGUGGGGAAUCUUACAAAGAAAUAGGGUUGUAUAUUGUUUCGACUCCUUUUGCGUGGUUGUCUUCUCCAAGCUGCCUAGAUAAGUCAGCAGAAGGGCUCAGAUGAAACAUGUUUUGUAAAUGUAACUUUCAGGUAAUGAAACAGUACCUUCCCAUUAUUGAGCUCUUUUUUUAAAUAGCUAGUUUUGAGUUGAAACCAAGACAAUAGAUAUUCAUUAUGCAAACCUUUGAGCCACCUUUAUGGUAUUACUGUCUUAGUAUUGCUCUAAUGUUAAAUGUCUUCUCUGUUUACUGUAAGAUAAAACCUUUGUGUUCAGUCAGAAAAUAAAGGGACUCCUUGGAGGACUUUGCCAGGGGCUGCAUGAAGAUAUGUGGCUGAGACCUAUAUACAAAGGCCUUCUGUGCAGGGUCUAUGUGGCUCUACAAAAGUGGUAAGCUGAGCUGAGAGGAGAAGCCUACAGAAAUGGAAAGUGGAGGUUCCUGUGUCCAUUAUUUCAAACUGAAGUUGCUCCUUUAUUUAGAAAACAAAGCAACAUGCCAGACAAGUACAUAAACAUUUCAUGUAAUUAUAUUAAGAUAGGCUUGGAAAGUGCUGAUGGAGACUUUAAAAACACCUGGUUCAAAAGCAUGUAUUUAUCUUCUCUGAAAUUAACUGGUGUUUUAUGUCAUUUACAGUCUAGUGUGCACACUUCUUAUUUAGCAAAAAAUACCACUUCAUUUUCAUUUUUUCCUUGUUGUAGAUGUGGCACAUAUUACUACUGGAAACUUCGAUGCCCAGUAUUUUUUUCUCUAUUCUUUUUAUUAAAGAAUGGGGUAUCUUUUUAAAACUCUCUUUGCACACUGGCAUGAACAGGGAACACAGUAUUGGUGGAGAUGGGGUUGGGGGAGGUUUAGAGGGAGGAAUUGCAUUCUUUUGGCAUUCCUGAGAGGAAAACAGCUGUAUUAACUUUUUUUUUUUUUUUUUUGGAAAGUGCAGAGGCAUCUCCCCUGACUCUCAGAAUUCCAGUUCUUUACAGCUGAGCAAAAACAGCAUGGCAUAUUAUUUAUGCCUGGAGUCAGCAUGCAUGAAUGUUGCUGUUCUGAUUAUUAGCCAAGAGAAAACAGCUGUAUACAUUACUAAUAAAAGGACUUUGAAAUGAAAAAAAAAAAAAUCCAAUAGUGGGGUUUUCCCCUAUAAACAGCAGAUGUGUACAGGGUUUUACCCCAUGUCUGCCCUGUACUUUAGCACCACUGUCCUGGGAGGUAAAUGGAAGCCAGCAUGAGAGGUGGAAGUAUGGUGAAAGUAGAUAUGUUUGUAGCAAAAUAGGUAUGCUGUGGUUGACUAGAGACAUUUUAAGGUUUAUUAUUUUAAGAGAGCAGUUGUGCCUAGCCAUCAUUCCAUUCCUCCUCCUUCGCCUCUCAUAAAAAGAAAAUAUUGUGUACCUGCAAACAUAUGCUCUGCUAUCAGCAUUCAGACACCCAAACACCGAAAUCAUUUAGCAGCUCUUACUGCUGUCAGUAAGCAGAUGAUGGCGUAAGGGGUUUAGAAUUUGAUAUGUGUUUUCUAAAGCAUCUCUCAAAAUAGGCAUUGUCUAUUUCUUGUUUGUUGCUUGUGGGAAAUUUUUCGUCAAGUGUACCUGUACCUAACCCAUGACUAAAACUUACCUAGAUCUUAAUUUCUAGAUUUAAAAAGAAGAAAAAAGGGAUCAAGUAAGGAACAGCGAAGUAAAGAAUAUCUAAGAUUAAAAGUAGGAAUAGCUACAAUUACCUAGAUUUCAAUUUCUGGGUUAUUUUUAGUGUGACAAAGUAAAGAGUGUCCAAAAUUACAAAUCUGAGGGAUAAUUCAAAGAUCCUUUUUUGUUGUCAUUGUUCCUGGGGGAAUAUGUUUCCUGGGGGAAGGAGCAUAUCUGACUGGUCCCAGGGAAGAAAUGAAGUAGAACUGGUAUUGAAGAGAUAUCUUUCUAUGGGAAUCCAGCAAAAAUACUGGGUUCCAAGAACUUGCUUGCCUGGGGAACUCCCAGAUUCUUUAAAAACCUUACAUGUGAAAUAGCUUAACAUAAAUAUAUAGGUUUAGACAUACUGAUUGAUGUUUCAGUGCCUAUUUUUAUAUGCAUUUAUAUCGCUCAGGUCAUCUAUUUUCCACUUGUUCUAUUAAGUCAUGGUUUUGCAAAUGGUCACCAUUUAAAUAUAAGGGACCUAUUUUGCUUCUUUCAUAUUCUUCGACAUUUCCUCAAUGAAAGAAUAAGGAAAGUUUAGGAGUGAGUUACUUAGGGUGUAUUCUACUCUGAGGAUUUCAGUUUUACUAUAGCUGUAUUUAAUCUUAUAUUAAUUGGGCACUUAUAUUAAUUUAGUGCCUGUAUAAUGUUGGCACUGAAAUGGUUCUUUAGUGUGUUGUGAGAAAAUUUCAAUGAAGUCAUUUAUAGAAAACUGUUUUUCUCAAGGGAAUUUCCCUUUCCCCUUUUCAGAAGUCAGAGGAAAAAAAAACUGGAAUUAGAGUAUAGAGUUAGAGAUAAAGCGAAACGAUGGCAGAAUAUGCUGAGACAUUUGCUCAGGGGUUAAAAGACAGGGAGUUUAUAGAACUCCCUUUUCUGCUUGUCAUAAGGUUAUCUGUUCCUUCUUUUGGACAUCUCUCUAGAGGUGUUCCCAAGCUUUGUAUCACAGAUUCUUUUAUCGUGGGGGUCCUAAACUUUAACCAUUUAAAAAUAAAAACCAAGGGUUACCAAACACCUUAAUAGAGACUUCUCUAUGAAGUUACAAGAAGUAAACAACCAUAUGGAAGAAUUUGAUGUGUUCUUUGAAGUCACUGCUUGUAAGAGAAGACAACGUGUAAUUUUUGAGUUACUGUAUGACUCACGUUGGAAAUGUUUAAAGCCUUCUGUAGGCAUGGUGUGGUGGCUCACACCUGUAAUACCAGCACUUUGGGAGGCCGAGGCGGGAGGAUCACUUGCACUUAGGAGUUUGAGACCAGCCUGGGCAACAUAAUGAGACUUUGUCUCUACAAAAAAAAAAAAAAAUUAAAAAAAUUAAAAAUAAAAAAAAUUAGCCAGGCAUAGUGGUGCAUACCUGUAGUCCCAGCUACUCAGGAGGCUGAGGUGGGAGGAUCUCUUGAGCCUGGGAUGUCAAGGCUGUUUGAGUUGUGAUUGUGGCACUGUGUUCCUGCUUGGGCAACAGAGCAAGACCCUGUCUGGGGGAGGGGUGGGGCGCGGGGUGGGAAGCCUCCCGAUGUCCUAGGAAUAGAAGGCUUUUGCUGUUGCAGGAGUACUGAAAUGGAAUAGUAGGAGCUGCCAGUGAAACUCAUUCAGUGUUGAUGUAGCAUGUUUUAAGAAUGUGUUAUUUACGGGGAAAACUCUCGAGUUCGUCAGCGAACUGAGAAUCCAUUCAUGGGUGCAGAAAAAGAUGCCCAUUGCGGGAAAUGUGUCUGUACUCUGUGGCACCUCCUUAGGUGGGAGGAAUGUGGUGGGGGCUGUGAAGACUGUGCCACUUUCACACCUCUGCAUGCAGAAUGACUCUCAUUCUCUUUUACCAAAGAGCGAAUUCAUUAUUGAACCUGUUAGGAUCCAAGGCAUUCAAGCAUAUUUGGGGAAGACUACUCUUGUUCUCUAGAGAGACAGGUCUAAAUGAUUAAGUUUCCAAAUACUGAGCUUAUUCCAGAAAUAAUUUGGUUUCUGCAUGCUUUGUUUUCUACAGCAUGGUGAGACUGCCACUUAGUUAGACUGAGUCUUGUGAAUUGAAGCCUGUUUACAAGAAGUCUGACAUACACACUAUUAUUUUUAGCCUGAACAACAUGAAAACCAUCUAUUUAAAACUCCCAAAUCUGAAUGACAGUCUCAUCUUGCUUAAAAUUCCUUCUAGUACUUUUUAAGCCAACAGAAAGGAACAUAUAAACAAUUUGUUAAUUGCAACAGCUGGUCCCUGAGUAUCUUUAUGUUAAUGUUUGGAAUCUUUGAAUUUGAAAGACUUUUAGAAAGAGCAUCUGGAUUAAUGUAGUGCUAUUCAGACUUCAGUCUUGAGAAGUGGAAUCGACCUCAUCAAGACAAACAAACAGGGGCCUUAUACAGAUUGGGAGGGCGACAGCAAAGGCAUGGUGAAAUUUCUUUAAAAAUCUUAGUAGAGAAUGAAGACAAAUGGUCUCGGUUUGGUUGUGGGUGAAUAGCCUCUUAUUUAAUUUAGUAUGAUGUUUAUCUAGCUGCUGUGGUAAAUGAGGUGAAAUCUUUUGUGUAUACAGUUAAUUCCCAAUUAUUCAUACAUGCUUUAGCCAAAUUGCUGAUUCUCUGUGGACUUUGGAGACCUUCCCCCCGCCACCCCCCCCCCCCCAAUACAAUUUGCUGUCCAUCCGGUCCCAUGUCCUAGUUUCCUCUCUGGCCAUGCUUUCUCACAGGGGUUCCCAGUUGCUCUCCUCAUUUCCAUCUUUGCUCCCUGACCAGGCCCCUGCUGCUUUUGCUUUCUCGCUGCUUUUGCUUUCUCUGCUGCAUUCCCUGGAUUUGUCUGACAGUCCAGGGUUCUUGUCUCCUUGCCGUUGUCUCUCUCAGUCAUCUCAGAGUGGUAAUAGAGAAGCUAGUUGAUGGCCAGGGAAAAGCUACAGAGAGCUAAUGUCUGCUGCUCCUUGCUUCUCUUCCUGUCACCUUUGGGCCUUUGUUGAAUGAACAAGUGGAGAGUAAGUAGAGAAAGGGGUUUCCUGAAACAUUUCCAGCCUGUUCUUUUAAGUGCUUUUUUUCCUCAGGAUUUUAUAGUCCUAUACGUGGUAGGUAGGCGGAUGGGCGGGUGGUGGGGGAGGUAUUACAGCAAAAUGCUUACAUAUUCUUUUCACCUCUUGUUUUCUUUUUUGUUCUCAACUGGGACCUACUAUUCUCCUCCCCAUUGCUGAAAGGCAAAUUCUUAGAAAGGGGCCAUUUAGAGUAUGUGUAGCUGAAGAACCUCAAAUAGUUCUUCAUUUAGCAAAUAUUUAAUUUCUUGAGUUCUUUUUAUGUUUUGAAUAUUCUUAGAGAUACGAAAAUGAAUUUGAUGUAGAUUCUGCCCUUAAAGGGGUUUAAGUAAAAUCUAGAAGCAGAAUUUACACAGACAACCACACAGAAAACCCUAAAUCUAAAGCCGAUAUGUAAACACAUGAUUACCAUAGUAAGUGAGAACCUUGUACCGCGUUGGAGAAGUGUGAAGGGUCUCCCCAGAAGACAUUGUUUUUCCUGGGGAGGGGAUCACAGUAGUACAGAUGUGAAAAAUCUGCCCUAAUAUUUUUUGUUUGCACUAUGUGGAUGGAAAUGAAAACUUACCUGUAACAAACAGUUUUAUCUAUAGAAUGUUUUAUAAGCCUAUUUUUGUUCCUUUUCUAUUAUAUGUCUACACAGAAUAUAAAUUUACCCCAUCAGGUGAAAGCUCAGCAUAGGUGUGCAAGCCCCACUUGGCUAAAAUAUUGGUUAGAGCAAUAAAAUCCUGUGUUCCAUUCCCAAACCAGUUCCAAGCCAGGUAAUGGGUUGAAAAGGCCUUUGAUUAGUUGGAUUUCCUAUAAACCAACUCUGAAGUACGCAUGCAUUGAUUGAAUUAAUAGAAGAGCCCUUCAUUCCCUUGCCAGAGCCUGGUGUUGCUUAAUCUUUUAGUAGUUCCACUAAAGCUUUUGGUUUCUAAGCCCAAAUGAGAUUACAACCAGCAAAUUUUAAAGAAGUGGAGCUAAGAGAGACGAGUAUAGUAAUAACAAGUCUGAAAAACUGCAAGAGGACACAAGAAUUCUGAGUGAGCCUGGUAGUUUCUAGUGAGAUUUCCAUUUAAAGUUUUGAUAGUUAACCUUCCAUGGACUAUCUCAGAUCAUUCUUUGGAUUCAUAAAGUAUUUUUGUUAGUUUCCUUGCCAUAGCCAAAUAAAAAUAAUCUCUGAAUUGAGUUAGGAAAUUUAGUUCCUGCUACAACUGCAGAUUUCAUGUACAGGAAGAGGAAGGGGUGGGCAAUUACAGAGGAUUAGGGAACAUCCCUUUAGAGUUCUUCCUGGGAUGACAAUGGUCGAAUGAGAUAAUGUGAGAGUGCUUUGCAGUUGGAAAGUGCUGUAGGAACCCUGAAUUCAUCUGAAACUGUAGCUUAGUGUUUAAAUGAUGUCUGUUAUUACUUUUUUGAAUAGUCUGGAGUGCUUGUUAAAGAAAAAAUUAUUCUGUGAUAUUUGUUGAAUGAAGCACAGUGAGGAAGACUUUACUCAGGGCCCUUGUAAUAGCUAUAGGGACCACUGCAAUAGGGUCUUGCAGUGGGGGAGAGAGAAUAGGCUCAAUUCUGAAUACAUCAUCAUGGGCAAGUGGGAAUUUAUAGCCAAGGAGCAGUGUGGGGAUCAGUGGAUGGAAAAUUACUAAGACAAAACCUAAGGGGUAAGGGGGCUUCUGACUCAAUUGCCCUAAUAAGAUUCUUGGUGAAGACAGGCCAGGGUGUUGAGACAUUACCUGGGGAGAUGGUGGAGGAUGAGGAACUUGAUCAGAUAUUGGAGAUGAUCAGAAAUUGAGGAUGGAGGGUUCUGAAACUGACUUAACAGGAUUCUUUGCUAAAACCAGAUUCUACAAGGAAAUACACAUAUGGGCCUAGCGGAAGAUACAGAACCCUAACUGAAGUUUGGCUGACCAAAAAGAAUCUUUGUUACUGUUAAGUAUUCGGAUUCCUGGGCCUAAUGCCAGGUCUACUGAAUCAAGAUCUCUGAAGACAAAGAUGUCAGAAUCUACAUUUUAACAGACUCCUUGGGCACUUCUUUUACCCAUUACGUUAGAGCUGCUUAGAUAGAAGUUGCAACUUUUUUGGAGUCUGAGUUUGUAGUUGUAAAACUUUGCUUUUUGAUAGAAGGUGAGUAUGAAUGUGGUAGCUCAAUCAGAGUGGGCCACAUUGUAACUAAGUGAAGGGAUUCUCAAACAUCUGUCUUGGAGAUAGAGAUGGAAAGAUUCAUGUCUUGAAAGCUUAUACUGUAUUAUAUUUAAUUUCCUUAUAUGAUAAAAUUUACCAAAUAGCUCUGAGGAAGGAAUCAUUUUUACCACCAUCUUUUUUUUUUUUUUUUUUUUUGCACAGGGGCAAAUUGAAGCUUAGAAAGGAACUUUUUCUUUUCUUUUAUAAAAUUUUACUUUAAGUUCCAGGAUACAUGUGCAGAACGUGCAGGUUUAUUACAUAGGUAAAUGUGUACUAUGGUGGUUUGCUGCACCUUAACCCAUCGCCUAGGUAUUAAGCCCUGCAUGCAUUAGUUAUUUGUCCUGAUGCUCUCCCUCCCCUCACCCCUGUCCCUGACAGGCCCCAGUGUGUGUUGUUCCCCUCCCUGUGUCCUUGUGUUCUCAUUGUUCAACUCCCACUUAUGAGUGAGAACAUGCAGUGUUCGGUUGUCUGUUCCUCUGUUAGUUUGCUGAGGAUGAUGCUUCCAGCUUCAUCCAUGUCCCUGCAGAGGACGUGAUCUCAUUUCUUUUUGUGGCUGCAUAGUAUUCCAUGGUGUCUGUGUACCACAUUUAGAAAGGAACUUUCUUAGGACCAUACAACUGGUUGUGGAAGGAGCAGAAAUUGAACACUGGCCUGUCUGGGUCUGAAGCCCAAGCUCUCAGCCUCCAUGCACUCUGAAUUGCCUAGUGCUGAUGGCCACAGUCAUCAGGGAAUAGAGGUUAAGGGAGGAGAGGCAGGCAGAGGCUAAAGUGUCACUCCAGCUGUGGGCUAAAGGAUGCUGACCUGUGGACAUUAGCCCAAACCCCAGCAAACCCAUUAGGCAUGAUACACUACUAUGUAAAUUUAAGGCCUAGGAGACAUUUGUAGCAAGCUGGUUGCUGUCACCGAGAGCUCAUAUAUUGACUUUGUCAAGCAAGAGUGAGAAGAGAAGAUCACAUGUUUUACUUAACAUUGCCUGUAAACUUUUCACAAGACUUUUCAAAUCAAUACUUAUGCUUUUUCUUUCCAUAUUGUAAGACACUCAGACUGGUAAGUGAAGGGACUUUAAAGCUUGGCAUUGGUUUAGGGCUGUAGCUAUGGGGGUAGCAGGAAAAGAUGGGAGGAGGGAAAAGCGAAAGAGCUGGACACAUGUGGACACUCAGCCGGGGCAUCCCUGGGACCCCACAUUCUUGAGAUUUUAUUAUGUCUUGAGACCAAAUAUAUGUGGAGGGAGUGAUGGUAAAGGUGAUAAAAGUGCAAGUUAUAAUAGAAUUUCAUAGAUAGGGAAAAUUGAAAGAAGGAUAAUAUAGUUUAUGGGUAAAAAGCCUGUGCCACAUUCUGAGAGCUUCAGGGUCUUUUUCUUCCACACUACCCCCUUCAGCGCCUCCACAUACCCAGGGGGUAAGCUCUAGUAUUUUUGAUUUUCAUAUUUCUGCCUUGUGAUUAAAUAUGAAUACCAUAUUGACUAGAAAAUUGGUUUGUCUUUAAAUUAUGGUUUUGAAAAGGUUUACUCUCUUUUGCUAUUCCAUAGAGGUUAGUAGGCCAUAGGGCCCCUUUAUCUUAUUUAUUUAUUUAUUUGUUCAUUUAUUUAGGGACAGAGUCUUGCUUUAUUGCCCAGGCUGGAGUGCGGUGGUGCAAUCUUAGCCCACUGCAAAGUCCGCCUCCCAGGUUCAAGCGAUUCUCCUGCCUCAGCCUCCCGAAUAGCUGGGAUUACAGGCACGCGCCACCAUGCCUGGCUAAUGUUUGUAUUUUUAGUAGAGACGGGUUUUCACCAUGUUGGCCAGGCUGGUCUCGAACUCCUGACCUCAGGUGAUCUGCCCGCCUUGGCCUCCCAAAGUGCUGAGAUUACAGGUUUGAGCUGCCGUGCCUGGCCGGGCCUGUUUAUAACUAUUAUGCUCAAGGUAAAUGUAGAAUGUAGAAAUUAAGGUGAAUAAAACAUUCAUAUUAAAAGCAAAACAUUAAUUUUGUAUGUUCAGGAUAUAUGGUAUGAGCUGGGACACCUGGGCUUUGAGCCACAACUUCACUGUCUACAACACACACAAACUUCCUCCCUCCCCCACUGUAUCCCCUCCCCCACCACCUCCGACCUCCACCCCAACUGUAAAAGUUGAAGCUGAGCAUGGUGGCUCCCGGCUGUAAUUCCAAUACUUCGAUAAGUUAAGGUGGGAGGACCACUUGAGCCCAGGAGUUUGAUGUUAGCCUGGGCAACAUGGCAAGACUCCGUCUCUACAAAAAAUACAAAAAGUUAGCUGGGCAUGGUGGCGACUGCCUGUAGACUGAGCUACUUGGGAUGCUGAGGUAGGAGGAUCAUUUGAGCCCAGAUGACAUCACUGCACUCCAGCCCAGGCAACAGAGUGAGGCCCUGUCUCCAAAAAAAAAAAAAAAAAAAAAAAAAAAGAGUGUAAACAGGUAAUUUUACUGGGCCUUAGUUUCGUUUCUUCAUCUCUCUGAUGAGGGGUGUGGCUGAAUGACCUCUUUGGGGUUUUUACAUUUCACAGUUGUCAAUCAUAAUUUUCUGUGACCCUGACCAAGCCUCACUCUGACCUAAUGACUCAUACAAACAUUUCUCUUCUUCUCUUCAUGUUUGCGUAUUUUGAUUGCACAUGUACCUUGGACUUAGUGGGGUCACUGGCAAAGCAAGUGUAUUUUCUGAAAUACACCAGAGAAGUGGGUGUGCACAGUGUUUUCCCUUGGGUCGAGCCAUGCUUCUGCUGUCCUUCCAGCUGGAAUCUGUCAGAUGUGGACUGUGGAUCUCCUGAGUGCUUAGUAAAAAUGCAGAAUCCUGGGCCCCUUGCAGACCUGUUGAGGGGGAGUCUCUGGAAGUAAGGCUCUGGGCUCUGCAUUUUAAUAAGCCCCUAAGUGAUCCCCAGGCUCACUACUGUUUGAGAACAUGAAUGAUUCUCCUCUAAGUAUGCACUGUGGUCUUUAGAUAGAACCCAUGGUUCCCUCAAGGCAGGGGUCAUGCUGUGUGUGUGUUUAUAAAUGAAACUUCUCAGGAUAAAUUGUGAUCAUCUAGUUUAUUCACUCAUGAAACAAAUACUUGCAUCCUUCUUUUAUACAAAGUCCUGUGUUAGUUGUGGGAAUGGAGAGAAGAGAAUGUAUCUAAGGAGGCAGAGCAGACAGAUUUUGGCAACUGAUUAGAUAUGAGGGAUGUGGGAGAGGUCAAAGUUAGCUAGCGGGUUUGAUCCGGAGUGUGGAACUCUAGUUGUGCCAGUACAGAAAUGGGCAGACAGUCAUUGGAACAGUUUUGAGAAGAAAGAUGCCCAUAUAGGAAAGAGCCCAUAGAAUGGUUAUAAAAUAUGCCUGGAUUUGUGGAACCAGUUCUAAAGCUGGCAUUACUUUCAGAUUCUUAGUAUCUUAGAGGUGGGUGUGAUCUUGUAGAUCCUGUUUCAGUCUCCUCAGAAGCGGGAAAAAUUGGUAUCAUUUGGAGGCUAUUGUUUAGGUUGGGGCAAAAAAAUAUAAUGGGGGGAGACAUUAUAUAUAAAGGUGAUAUUUACUUCUUAGACUUGAGAGAAGCUGGCUUUCUUAA